GAGGGGUGAGGGGGAGGGGGAGGGAGUGGGGUGUGGGGCAGGAGGAGGUGGGAGGCGGCGGCGGGCGCGGCGCGGUUUUAGGACUGCGUCGGGCUACUAGGGCAGAGGGGGAGCCGGAGGCGGCGCAGGUGGCAGUGGCGCCAGCUACUCGUGCUGUUCCUGUUCCGGUCCGGGCUAAGGCUAAGGAGGCAGUGGCAGUGGCAGUGGCGCCGGCUACUCGGGCUGUUCCUGUUCCGGUGCCGGUUCCGGUUCGGGCUAAGGCCAAGGCUAAGGCUAAGGAGGCUCCGGUGGUCGCGCGGGGCAAGAGGGGGAGGGGAGGUCCUCCUCCACCUGGUCUUCCUACGCCUCGGCCGCCGGGGGCUCCGCUUACACCUGCUCUUCCUAAGCCUCGGCCGCCGGGGGCUCCGCCUCCACCUGCUCUUCCUACGCCUCAGCCGCCGGGGGCUCCGCCUCCACCUGCUCUUCCUACGCCUCAGCCGCCAGGGGCUCCUCCUUCACCUGCUCUUCCUACGCCUCAGUCUCCGGCGCCGCGGCCUAAUGUCCGGGUGCCGCCGCGGCGGCCGGAAAGAGCUCAGGAAGCGGCACAAGCAGUAGUUUCGGCACGACAAGGUCCAGUCGCGCGAGCAGCGGACGGAGUGCAAGGGGAAGGCCGACGACGUUACCACCAAGGAGAAGCACUGGCUGGGCGAGCCGAGCCGCGUCGCCCGCUCCCUAACCCGAGAGCCCCACCACCCCGUCCGGUGGCCGCGCCACCCGCGCACCGAGCCUCGCCCCCUGCCCCAAGGCGCGCACCACCGCUCCGACGACACCCCCCGCGAGACCCGGUACAUGCAGACGCACGAAGACACGCGCUACGAGCGGUACCGCAAGUGCCGUCCCCCCCAGGACCACCCCUUUCACCACCUCCUCGGGCAAGUCCACUGCCUCUUGGACUUAAAGCUAAUGUGGUUCGGCUCGGGACACCGCAAACACGGGCACCCCGCCGACCACGGCGGCGUUGUCGCCUACGUCGAGCUCCACAACGACUGCGACGGGCUCAGCCUAAUGUUGUCCUCCGAACCCCAAAAGGUCCACUCCCGUCUCGAAGAUAGACGUCUACCCUUUCACCAGUGACGAAGCUCGGUUGGUACGUACGAUUUCAAGUUCUCGCAGGUGUACGUAAAGUAUCUUUGGAAAAAGGUUCCACAAAGAGAAAACAGGCCGAUAAGUAGACUUAGAGUCCAAUAGUUUGAUUUUGACUGCCCGUAAUUCCUCCGAAAGUUCGGUUAUUGUCCUCAUUCCUAUCACGAGCUCGUUGCUCGGCUCAAACGGUGACCACGUCCGUAGGGUCUCUAGAUACUGCGCAGCUAUUUCGAGCUCCGGCUCGAGGGAGACGAGUUCUCUCAUGAGACCGUGACCUCUACCUGGUACAAACACACCUCGUCGUACCGCCAGAAACAGAAGCUUGACAACGAGCGGCAGCAAACAACAUCCGGGACAUAUAAAGGGUCCUCAACUGUACCACCCCACAUCGAGGAGUCCCAUUGAGUACAUUACAUGUGAACUUUUAUUUACAUGUUCCCCCACGGUGACAGUGUACUAUCUGACGAAUGAUUGGUACGACUACUACGAUGUAUACGGGGAAAAGAGGAGACAGCACCUCGAACGGUAAGAGACACUCAUCCGUUCAAUUCAGAACGAGAAGAGCAAAACAAAGACACC
rnacentral:rRNA from 1 species